UACGGGGGGGGCAAGCGUUGUUCGGAAUUACUGGGCGUAAAGGGCUCGUAGGUGGCCAACUAAGUCAGACGUGAAAUCCCCAGGCUCAACCUGGGAACUGCGUCUGAUACUGGAUGGCUUGAAUUCGGGAGAGGGAUGCAGAAUUCCAGGUGUAGCGGUGAAAUGCGUGGAUAUCUGGAGGAAUACCGGUGGCGAAGGCGGCAUCCUGGACCGAUAUUGACACUGAUGAGCGAAAGCCAGGGGAGCAAACGGG
rnacentral:rRNA from 1 species